rnacentral:lncRNA from 11 species
GCAGUAUUAACAGAAGUAAAAGUAACCCAUAUAACAGUAUAUACUUACAUAGUGCUAAAUGCUUUCACUGAGUGACUCUGCUUGUGGUGAUUUCAACUGCGAGUAAUUCUGGAGGUUCACUCAAGGGUUUUUAAAGAGUACUUGAAGGUUUAAAGGAAACAGCUAAAAUUAAGUGAUUCAUUAAGUCCCUGAGGGGAAAAGGUUUUAAACUUAAAGAUCCAGUACAUUUCCCUUUGGGAUAAUAGUUUUUCCAAGUCCAUGAAAGGUUUUUGAGAGAUGCAUUCCAGAACACAAAAUUUAAAUGAGUAUGAAGGAUUGUGGACGGGCCCUCUGUUUAAAAAAUUUGAGGACCCCUGCACUAUACAGUCAUGCAGAGAUGAAAUCACCAGCCACUUUUGAUUCUGACUUCACUCUUCAUAAGGUUUGAUUCUU